rnacentral:misc_RNA from 1 species
GAAAAUAUGAUUUUCUUUAAAAGCUUUCACCAAAAUAAUCCAUUUACAUGAACUGCACAAGUUCUCAUUUUCUUGUUAAUCUAAUCCUAGUCGAGGAUGCAUUUGGGAUAGCCCCAGGACUCAUAAGAAACUCAUAAAUUGCUUCAAGGAAAUAAUGAAGCAGCACUCCAGUUAUAUCCAAACUUUUGUUUACUGAAUUAUCUGCAAGACUGUGUAAGGGACUGAGUUUGAAUCGAAAUCCGAAUUAAAUAAAAAAUAAAGCACUGUACACUUGAGAAAUUCAUUCCCUCCAAUUUAGGUUUGCAACAAACGGACAUUUUCAACUGAUGAUCCGGAGCUUCCCAACUCUUUAUCGUCAGUUAUGUACUCCUCUUUGGCCUUUCCCCACAUUACUGCAUAAAAUCCAGUUACAAUGACAGUUGCUCCGAUCAAACUUCCAAGACCAAGGUUUUCUCCUAAAAAGAUGGCAUCUAGGACAACUGCAAAGAUAAUUGCCAAGGGCUUGAACAUAGAAACAA